UGACCCUUAUUAAGCCGAGGGUCACCUAGCCAACUGACGUUGUUAGUGAACACUCAUUGUUCACAAUGUAUAUACCGCCAAUCACCUCUAUUGUGAUUGGCGUUUUUUCU
rnacentral:sRNA from 1 species